rnacentral:lncRNA from 1 species
GUCGUCAUUGUUAUUCUCAUCGCCAUCAUCAUCAUCGACAUCGACUGUAGUUUUGCUCGGUUUAGUUCUGUGAAUCAUCUAGUUAACACAUGGUAUUUUAGGACACAUUCAUGAGUAUAUAACUAGUUACAGUCACUAAUUGAUCUAAGCUUACAAACUAUAUACACAGUGUUCAUUCAAAACCAUGGAUUCUAGGAUCUUACUCCACAGAGAUGGCAAGGAACUUACAUUGGAAAAGCAACACUCUGGCUACUGUUCUGACUCUUCUCCGAAUAUUUCGAAGAUGAUUUCCAUGACACAGUCGGAACUUUCUCCGGAUCACGUUCAUGUCCAUCUGAAGGUGUAGAUGUUGUCUCUUCACCCUCUUCAUCCCCCUCCUCUUCUCGAGGUUCAUCAGCCGGAGAAGAGGCUGGAAAUGCAGUAGGACUACUCGGGGACUCUUGCUCCGAUCGAGGAGGGGUGAAUGAAAACAACUCCUGCUGCGCGUGCUGCGAGUUGAUGAUCAUCGCCGCUUGUUCUCUAGUGAGGCU